GAUGAACGCUGGCGGCGUGCUUAACACAUGCAAGUCGAACGGAAAGGCCACAGCUUGCUGUGGUACUCGAGUGGCGAACGGGUGAGUAACACGUGGGUGAUCUGCCCUGUACUUCGGGAUAAGCUUGGGAAACUGGGUCUAAUACCGGAUAGGAAUCACAUGUGGGUGUGUGGUUGGAAAGCUUUUGCGGUAUGGGAUGAGCUCGCGGCCUAUCAGCUUGUUGGUGGGGUAAUGGCCUACCAAGGCGUCGACGGGUAGCCGGCCUGAGAGGGUGUACGGCCACAUUGGGACUGAGAUACGGCCCAGACUCCUACGGGAGGCAGCAGUGGGGAAUAUUGCACAAUGGGCGCAAGCCUGAUGCAGCGACGCCGCGUGGGGGAUGACGGCCUUCGGGUUGUAAACUCCUUUCGUCAGGGACGAAGCGAAAGUGACGGUACCUGGAUAAGAAGCACCGGCUAACUACGUGCCAGCAGCCGCGGUAAUACGUAGGGUGCGAGCGUUGUCCGGAAUUACUGGGCGUAAAGAGCUCGUAGGUGGUUUGUCGCGUCGUUUGUGUAAGUCCACGGCUUAACUGUGGGAUGGCAGGCGAUACGGGCAUAACUUGAGUGCUGUAGGGGAGACUGGAAUUCCUGGUGUAGCGGUGAAAUGCGCAGAUAUCAGGAGGAACACCGAUGGCGAAGGCAGGUCUCUGGGCAGUAACUGACGCUGAGGAGCGAAAGCAUGGGUAGCGAACAGGAUUAGAUACCCUGGUAGUCCAUGCCGUAAACGGUGGGCGCUAGGUGUGAGUCCCUUCCACGGGGUUCGUGCCGUAGCUAACGCAUUAAGCGCCCCGCCUGGGGAGUACGGCCGCAAGGCUAAAACUCAAAGGAAUUGACGGGGGCCCGCACAAGCGGCGGAGCAUGUGGAUUAAUUCGAUGCAACGCGAAGAACCUUACCUGGGCUUGACAUACACCAGAUCGGCGCAGAGAUGCGUUUUCCCUUGUGGUUGGUGUACAGGUGGUGCAUGGUUGUCGUCAGCUCGUGUCGUGAGAUGUUGGGUUA
rnacentral:rRNA from 1 species